GUUAGCAUAGUUUAACAUAAAACACUAGGAUGUGGCCCUAACAAUAGAAGUUCAAUCCUUCUUGCAAACC
rnacentral:tRNA from 1 species